rnacentral:rRNA from 1 species
CCUACGGGAGGCAGCAGUGGGGAAUUUUGGACAAUGGGCGCAAGCCUGAUCCAGCCAUGCCGCGUGCAGGAUGAAGGCCUUCGGGUUGUAAACUGCUUUUGUACGGAACGAAAAGACUCUGGUUAAUACCUGGGGUCCAUGACGGUACCGUAAGAAUAAGCACCGGCUAACUACGUGCCAGCAGCCGCGGUAAUACGUAGGGUGCGAGCGUUAAUCGGAAUUACUGGGCGUAAAGCGUGCGCAGGCGGUUAUAUAAGACAGAUGUGAAAUCCCCGGGCUCAACCUGGGAACUGCAUUUGUGACUGUAUAGCUAGAGUACGGCAGAGGGGGAUGGAAUUCCGCGUGUAGCAGUGAAAUGCGUAGAUAUGCGGAGGAACACCGAUGGCGAAGGCAAUCCCCUGGGCCUGUACUGACGCUCAUGCACGAAAGCGUGGGGAGCAAACAGGAUUAGAUACCCUGGUAGUCCACGCCCUAAACGAUGUCAACUGUUGUUGGGUCUUCACUGACUCAGUAACGAAGCUAACGCGUGAAGUUGACCGCCUGGGGAGUACGGCCGCAAGGUUGAAACUUAAAGGAAUUGACGGCUGAGACGNGCGAGACGACACGAGGGAGGAGG